GCAUAAUGUGCUUAUUUUAAUUUUAUUUUUCCUUCAAUAAAUGAUAAAUUUGAAAUAUUUCCUUUGGGUUUCACUGUAAAUAGAUGAAGUAAUAAUGUUGUAUUUAUUUUUAUUAUUAAACAUCUCAGAGAAAAGCAACUUCUGGAUUACCUCGAAUGCACUGGCAACAUAAGUAGCAACAGACUUCCAGACGAAGAAGCUUGUGUGGAACAUGUUAAAUGAAGACCCUUCAACAUCUCCCUGGGUGCAGUGCCGUGGUGCUCUCAAGAUGCACCAGGCUUUUAUAACUAGUGAUGCAGCAAGCACUGAAAUUAUGGACUACAAAGUAUUUCCCAAGAAGCUCAGGAGGCUCCAGGCUCUGGCUCUGAAUUUGUGACCUGGUACACAUAGAG
rnacentral:lncRNA from 1 species